rnacentral:rRNA from 1 species
GACGAACGCUGGCGGCGUGCCUAAUACAUGCAAGUCGAGCGGACGAAUCGAAAGCUUGCUUUUGAUUCGUUAGCGGCGGACGGGUGAGUAACACGUGGGCAACCUGCCCUGUAGACGGGGUUAACACCGAGAAAUCGGUGCUAAUACCGGAUAACACGAAAUGUCGCAUGACGUUUCGUUGAAAGACGGCGCAAGCUGUCGCUACAGGAUGGGCCCGCGGCGCAUUAGCUAGUUGGUGAGGUAACGGCUCACCAAGGCGACGAUGCGUAGCCGACCUGAGAGGGUGAUCGGCAACACUGGGACUGAGACACGGCCCAGACUCCUACGGGAGGCAGCAGUAAGGAAUCUUCCGCAAUGGACGAAAGUCUGACGGAGCAACGCCGCGUGAGCGAAGAAGGCCUUCGGGUCGUAAAGCUCUGUUGUUAGGGAAGAACAAGUAACGCAGUAACUGGCGUUACCGUGACGGUACCUAACGAGAAAGCCACGGCUAACUACGUG